rnacentral:rRNA from 1 species
GAGUGGCGAACGGGUGAGUAAUGCAUCGGAACGUGCCAUUGAGUGGGGGAUAACGUAGCGAAAGUUACGCUAAUACCGCAUAUUCUGUGAGCAGGAAAGCAGGGGACCACAAGGCCUUGCGCUCUUUGAGCGGCCGAUGUCAGAUUAGCUAGUUGGUGAGGUAAAGGCUUACCAAGGCGACGAUCUGUAGCGGGUCUGAGAGGAUGAUCCGCCACACUGGAACUGAGACACGGUCCAGACUCCUACGGGAGGCAGCAGUGGGGAAUUUUGGACAAUGGGCGCAAGCCUGAUCCAGCCAUGCCGCGUGAGUGAAGAAGGCCUUCGGGUUGUAAAGCUCUUUCGGCCGGGAAGAAAUCGCAUGGGUUAAUACCCUGUGUGGAUGACGGUACCGGAAUAAGAAGCACCGGCUAACUACGUGCCAGCAGCCGCGGUAAUACGUAGGGUGCGAGCGUUAAUCGGAAUUACUGGGCGUAAAGCGUGCGCAGGCGGUUUUGUAAGACAGGCGUGAAAUCCCCGGGCUUAACCUGGGAACUGCGUUUGUGACUGCAAGACUAGAGUACGGCAGAGGGGGGUGGAAUUCCACGUGUAGCAGUGAAAUGCGUAGAGAUGU